UCCUGGCUGGCUCAGUCAGAAGAGCAUGUGACUCUUAAUCUCAGGGUCAUGAGUUCAAACCCGAUGUUGGGUG
rnacentral:tRNA from 1 species